rnacentral:rRNA from 1 species
GCUGGCGGCAGGCCUAACACAUGCAAGUCGAGCGGUGAAGGGAGCUUGCUCCUGGAUUCAGCGGCGGACGGGUGAGUAAUGCCUAGGAAUCUGCCUGGUAGUGGGGGAUAACGUCCGGAAACGGGCGCUAAUACCGCAUACGUCCUGAGGGAGAAAGUGGGGGAUCUUCGGACCUCACGCUAUCAGAUGAGCCUAGGUCGGAUUAGCUAGUUGGUGGGGUAAAGGCUUACCAAGGCGACGAUCCGUAACUGGUCUGAGAGGAUGAUCAGUCACACUGGAACUGAGACACGGUCCAGACUCCUACGGGAGGCAGCAGUGGGGAAUAUUGGACAAUGGGCGAAAGCCUGAUCCAGCCAUGCCGCGUGUGUGAAGAAGGUCUUCGGAUUGUAAAGCACUUUAAGUUGGGAGGAAGGGCAGUAAGUUAAUACCUUGCUGUUUUGACGUUACCAACAGAAUAAGCACCGGCUAACUUCGUGCCAGCAGCCGCGGUAAUACGAAGGGUGCAAGCGUUAAUCGGAAUUACUGGGCUGUAAAGCGCGCGUAGGUGGUUCAGCAAGUUGGAUGUGAAAUCCCCGGGCUCAACCUGGGAACUGCAUCCAAAACUACUGAGCUAGAGUACGGUAGAGGGUGGUGGAAUUUCCUGUGUAGCGGUGAAAUGCGUAGAUAUAGGAAGGAACACCAGUGGCGAAGGCGACCACCUGGACUGAUACUGACACUGAGGUGCGGAAAGCGUGGGGAGCAAACAGGAUUAGAUA